GUCUCCUCGGAGACAUUCGCUAAAAUUGAAACGAUAAAGAGAAGAUUAACACAGCUCAUUUUCAAGGAUUACACGCACCAAUCAUGAAAUGAUAGAGUGGGAG
rnacentral:snRNA from 1 species